rnacentral:rRNA from 1 species
GCAUCUAAGCGGGAAGCCCCCCUCGAGAUGAGAUUUGCAAGCACUUUUGUGCGAGAGACCCCUUGUAGACUACAAGGUUGAUAGGCAGGAGCUGUAAGGGCCGAGAAGCCUUAAGGUGACCUGUACUAACGGUCGAUUGCUUGAUCGUUC